UUUAACUUCUACUCAUUUUUCUCUUAUCAUAUUAUUUAUUUACUUUUGAAAUCUCAUAUAUUUACAAUUGAUCUUAAAACACUUUAAGGAGAAAAAGUUAUUUCAGGCGAGGAUAAUAAAUAAAGAAAACAUUGAGAUAAUAAAGAAAUAAACACGUGACCGAUAUAUUUAUCAAAGUUUAAAAAAUUAUCAGUUUUUAUAUCAUUUGUAUCAACUAUGUAACUGCGACAAAGUUGACAUGAGUAAUCGUGCUGAUAACACGUGUAUAUAAAUACCCGCCCGUCCGAAAAUUAAGAAAAAAAAAUCGAAGUAAACGAGUCAUUUAUACCUUCUUACAUCUAUAUUCCUUUCGAAAUUACGUAAAAAUCCAACUAAAACAGCGAAAAACCGAGAGUACAGAGGGUAGACUUGAAUCAUAAUGGACGUCACAUUAAUAUUAUUUUGCAUCUUCAUCACGAUUCUUUUCACAUUUGCACCUCCGUUAUGUGGAAGAAUGGACAGCUCUCCGGAUAAGAAGGAAGAGAAAGAAAAGAAGGAUGCGUGAUUAUUGUUAACGUUAUUAAUUUUAUAUAUAUUUAUUUAUAUAAGUAUAUAUCGCAUCGAUAUACCGUAAAUGGGUUAAUUAACUUUUAUAUUGUAUUAAAUGCCCAUUAAAAUUUAUAGUGUUUAUAAUGUUGUGUAAUUUUAAAUUCAAUAAAGGCCGAAAUGAACAUUUGAAAGCGACAAUUAAAAUGUAAA